ACCAGGGGUUGUCUGCUUAGACAACUGGCUCCACUACACUGCUGCUGCCCAUUUGCUGCUUGAAGUUAGCAGUCAUCAGUGUCACUGCGUCACCAGCAUACCCUCACUGCCAACUCUGCUUAACCACUCAUUUCCAGACCCAGCCUUUAGCCAGGGACAAGCUUUUACACCAGAGUGUAGCCAUGUGUGUGACUGGUGAUACAGGUGCAGGAAACAGGAGCAUGUUUUUUCUGUUUGUUUCUUGAAAUAGGCUCUCAUUAUAUGGCCCAGGUUGUCCUUGAACUCUCAACCCUUCUUUUCUACCUUCCAAGUGCUGGGAUUACCAGUCAUCUAUCAGUCCUAGAUGUUUGACAGGCAGCAGCAUUUCCCCCAUAUCAGUCUUGUUCUCUGCCCCACAUUGAAGGGACAUGACAGUUUCAAGUGAGGGUGUCUUUUCCUCUGCUUUUUCUUCCAGGUACAACAGACUAGCAAGAGAAUGGACACAGAAAUAUGCUAUAACUCAGUGCUGUCCUGGGCUUUCCUUAUAUCCUGUCUGCCACAGAACCAGGUCCUGAGGAGUCUGAAUACAUCCUGGAGGCUCCUGAAAGUUGGAACACUCCUGGAAAGCAGAGGCCUCAUUCUGCACUCCUGCUGUCCUCUAUCCUCUGCAGCACUGCAUACUGCACUUCUCACCUCACGCCAAGAAACAGCCAGUGGCAAAUUUCAGGAUAUAAAGCACAGAACAUCUCAGGAGAGAUGACUUCUUUUUCUGAAGCAAGAGCAAAGUUAUGGAGCCUGGAGAGAUUUGGGUUCUGCUUUUCUAUAAGAGGUUUCUCCCAACCCCACCUCCUCCCACCAGGAGCCUACUUGAAAUCCAAGUAGAAGCCAUUCACAGACCAGAAUGCAAGGGACUAAAUGUAAAUAAAAAUGCAAUCUCCCCAUAACUCUAAAUGA